CGCUAUCACUCCUACGGGAGGCAGCAGUAGGGAAUAUUGGUCAAUGGGCGAAAGCCUGAACCAGCCAUGCCGCGUGUCAGAUGAAGGUCCUCUGGAUUGUAAAUGACUUUUCUACGGGAAGAAUGAGCCGUCUGCGGACGGAAGUUGACGGUACCGUAGGAAUAAGCACCGGCUAACUACGUGCCAGCAGCCGCGGUAAUACGUAGGGUGCAAGCGUUGUCCGGAUUUACUGGGUUUAAAGGGUACGUAGGCGGUUGUGCCAAGUCUGGGGUGAAAGUUUGCAGCUCAACUGUAAAAUUGCCUUGGAUACUGGUCGGCUAGAGUAGUGGAGCGGUGGCUGGAAUUUAUAGUGUAGCGGUGAAAUGCUUAGAUACUAUGAGGAACACCAAUUGCGAAGGCAGGUCACUGGUCACUAACUGACGCUCAGAUGCGAAAGCGUGGGGAGCAAACAGGAUUAGAUACCCUGGUAG
rnacentral:rRNA from 1 species